CCCAUCCUCUGCACCUCCGCUCGUCGCGCCCUUCCUCCGCUGCUCCACCCCUCCACCUCCUCGGUGCGCCGCAGUGCCCCUUCCUCCUCCUCCUCGGCGUGGCGCGGCGGCAACGCCUCCGCCGGCCGCGGGGACGCGGUGCGCGCGAGGGUGGCGGGGGCAGCCGCGCCGGUGACCGAGACAACGGCGGCCGAGGGAUGCGGCAGGCAGGAGGCCCCCGCCGCACCGACGGGAUCUCGACCUGUCCCUGAACCCUACCAGCGAGUCGCCUCCCUCGCCAUGGCGAAGCCCUCGCCGCC
rnacentral:lncRNA from 1 species